GCCCAUGUGUUGGAAUUGGUAGACAAGCAUGUUUGAGGGGCAUGUGGCCAUUAGGCCGUACGGGUUCAAGUCCCGUUGUGGGCA
rnacentral:tRNA from 1 species